rnacentral:rRNA from 1 species
GACGAACGCUGGCGGCGUGCCUAAUACAUGCAAGUCGAACGAGAGCAACCGGUGCUUGCACUGGUCAAUCUAGUGGCGCACGGGUGAGUAACACGUGGGUAACCUGCCCAUCAGAGGGGGAUAACAUCCGGAAACGGAUGCUAAAACCGCAUAGGUCUUCGAACCGCAUGGUUUGAAGAGGAAAAGAGGCGCAAGCUUCUGCUGAUGGAUGGACCCGCGGUGCAUUAGCUAGUUGGUGAGGUAACGGCUCACCAAGGCCGUGAUGCAUAGCCGACCUGAGAGGGUGAUCGGCCACAUUGGGACUGAGACACGGCCCAAACUCCUACGGGAGGCAGCAGUAGGGAAUCUUCCGCAAUGGACGCAAGUCUGACGGAGCAACGCCGCGUGAGUGAAGAAGGUUUUCGGAUCGUAAAACUCUGUUGUUAGAGAAGAACAAGUGCUAGAGUAACUGUUAGCGCCUUGACGGUAUCUAACCAGAAAGCCACGGCUAACUACGUG